rnacentral:lncRNA from 1 species
AUGACAAGAAGGGCUUCCCCAGGAUAGAUGAUCUCCAAAAAGUUAGAGAAAAGAAAAACAAAAGUGAGAGUACAAAUGAAAAAGAACAAACAGAAAGCUCCUGAAAAUGGACCUGCCAGCCAAGCUAGUGAGACCUCUUAGCCACCUCGGAAGACCAGAGCCCAAAUGGACCCCACAGUUGAAAACAAAAAAUCAUUUAUGAACAGAGGUGAAGUUAAAAGUUCCUGAAUAACCAAAACUAUGACCUAUUGAUGAUAGGAACUUAGUUACAGACAUGGUUUCCUUUAUCUUCCUUCCAAGAGAAGAAUGUAGAGUCAUUCAUGAGGAUUAUGCAAAUUAGAAGAAAUCUCAAGGAAAUACAGACAGUAAGGAGUAUAUUGUUAGUAAAAUUAUGACAUAUAUAAAGUAUACUCAAUAUAAUGUUGAGCACUCAGCCACUCUACAAUUUUGAGACCACAGUAUUCCAAAAACCUUACAGAUCUCCCUGAUGUACCCUUGCCCUAGAUUGAUGGAACACCACAUCUAAUGAGGCAAUUUAUAUGAAUCCAAGCAAUAUUAGCCAAUGCGCCUCUGGAUAAGAAGACCAUUGCUUUAAUAUUAAACUAUCUGCAUUAUUUUCAAAGUAUCUGACAGAGAUUUUUUUUUCAACUUCAUAUAGUGCCAACAAUUAUGAGUGUGGUUCCUCCUGAGUAUCAUCAUUAAG